rnacentral:tRNA from 1 species
GGGGUUGAAGCUCAGUAGUAGAGCACUUGCCUUGCAAGCGUGAGGCACUGGAUUCAAUCCUCAGCACCA